AUUUUUGAAAAAUUGACCU
rnacentral:rRNA from 8 species